GUCUUAAAUGGCGUUAGUUGCGUGGGCGAGACGCGGAAGCGGGGAUGAUCUAGCCAUGACCAGGAUGAAGCGCGGUAAUACCGCGUGGAGGUCCGAACCGGUGAAAGUUGAAAAUUUCUCGGAUGAGUUGUGGCUAGGGGUGAAAAGGCCAAUCAAAUCCCGGGAUAGCUCGUUCUCCCCGAAAGAUAUUUAGGUAUCGUCUUCAGAAAUUCUGUCACGGAGGUAGAGCACUGAAAGGGCUAGGGGUCCUACCAGAUUACCAAACCCUAUCAAACUCCGAAUGCCGUGAACUGUUAUCUGUGGAAGCAGUCAUUGGGUGCUAAGGUCCGAUGACAAAAGGGAAAGAGCCCAGACCGACAGCUAAGGUCCCAAAGUUUUUGGCUAAGUGGAAAAGGAUGUGGGAACGCAUUGACAGCCAGGAAGUUGGCUUA
rnacentral:rRNA from 1 species